UUAUUUAAACGACACAACAUAUAUAAUCGAAGCAGGUCAGGAUUGGAAGAUAGCAGCCUUAAGAUUCCCUAUAUGUGUGUGUCUUUUUUUAUGAUAAU
rnacentral:SRP_RNA from 1 species